rnacentral:tRNA from 1 species
UGCGGGGUGGAGCAGUCUGGUAGCUCGUCGGGCUCAUAACCCGAAGGCCGCAGGUUCGAAUCCUGCCCCCGCUACCA